rnacentral:miRNA from 1 species
UCGUCCCGAGACCGAUUAUUU